GACGAACGCUGGCGGCGUGCCUAACACAUGCAAGUCGAACGGGGUGAUUUCCUUCGGGGAGAUCACUUAGUGGCGAACGGGUGAGUAACGCGUGAGAAACCUGCCUCUCAGCGGGGGACAACAGUUGGAAACGACUGCUAAUACCGCAUAACACUUUAGUACCGCAUGGUACAGAAGUCAAAGCUUUAUGUGCUGAGAGAUGGUCUCGCGUCUGAUUAGCUAGAUGGCGGGGUAACGGCCCACCAUGGCGACGAUCAGUAGCCGGUCUGAGAGGAUGAACGGCCACAUUGGGACUGAGACACGGCCCAGACUCCUACGGGGAGGCAGCAGUGAGGAAUAUUGGGCAAUGGGCGCAACCCUGACCCAGCAACGCCGCGUGAAGGAAGAAGGCUUUCGGGUUGUAAACUUCUUUACCAGGGACGAAGACGUGACGGUACCUGGAGAAAAAGCCACGGCUAACUACGUG
rnacentral:rRNA from 1 species